UAUAAAGUUAUGUGAAAAUGUUGGUAUUUUAAGGCCCAAAAUGAGUAUUAUUAUUAUAAAUAACAUAACUACAAAAUAAUGUCAGUCAAAUUACGUUUUUCUUAAUCAAUUUCUUUCAUUAUAAAACUUUAACAGAAACUGCGGGUGUGUGUCUGUGUUUGGUGAAAACCAAUACCUGUAAUAUAUAUUUUGUAAACCCUGUUUUACUUUUAUUUCACCUUCUGGUUGUCAUCCUUGUUUUUGUCAGCAGGUGGUGCUGCUCUUACAGAGAGGUCUAAAAUUACCGGAAGUUGAAAAAAUCUCUCGUUUACGUCCUCUCACAUUCUAACGGGUAAAACGGAAGAGAAAGACAUUUUUGAGUCGAGACCUGUCGGAAAAGGCGACUUUAUGGCCACAUGAAUGAAGAAUCCAGAUUUUCGUGUGCUUUUUUGGAUUUAUUAUGACUGGAUGCAUUGGUCACCUCCUCACUGCCGUCAAUGCAGUCCAGUCUCUCCUGCAGCUCAGCGAAGGUGUUGCAUUUGAGACAUUCGGCUCCUUCCUCUGGAACUGGAGCCAAUGGUUGACCAACCAGUGACUGGGAGGGCUGCGGCGGCACUGGGCCACUGGUCUGCUCGUCUGUCUGAGCCUGAAAGUGUAUUGACCCUUGACCCCUGACCUUGUUCUGGACUCCAGCUGGUGGACCUUGCCCCAGUAUUUGAUGCUGCUCAGGUGUUUUUCCUCGGAGCAAAGCUGGGACAAUCGGGACGAACUCCGGCG